AGUGAACGCUGGCGGUAGGCCUAACACAUGCAAGUCGAACGGCAGCACAGUAAGAGCUUGCUCUUACGGGCGGAGAGUGGCGGACGGGAGCGGAAUACAUCGGAACCUACUUUUUCGCUGGGGAUAACGUAGGGAAACUUACGCUAAUAUCGCAUACGACCUACGGGUGAAAGCAGGGGAUCUUCGGACCUUGCGCGACUGAAUGAGCCGAUGUCGGAUUAGCUAGUUGGCGGGGUAAAGGCCCACCAAGGCGACGAUCCGUAGCUGGUCUGAGAGGAUGAUCAGCCACACUGGAACUGAGACACGGUCCAGACUCCUACGGGAGGCAGCAGUGGGGAAUAUUGGACAAUGGGCGCAAGCCUGAUCCAGCCAUACCGCGUGGAUGAAGAAGGCCUUCGGGUUGUAAAGCCCUUUUGUUGGGAAAGAAAAGCAUCAGGUUAAUACCCCGCUGUAAUGACGGUACCCAAAGAAUAAGCACCGGCUAACUUCGUG
rnacentral:rRNA from 1 species